rnacentral:rRNA from 1 species
CGGGUGAGUAACGCGUGAGGAACCUGCCUCAAAGAGAGGGACAACAGUUGGAAACGACUGCUAAUACCGCAUAAGCCCACGGCUCGGCAUCGAGCAGAGGGAAAAGGAGCAAUCCGCUUUGAGAUGGCCUCGCGUCCGAUUAGCUAGUUGGUGAGGUAACGGCCCACCAAGGCGACGAUCGGUAGCCGGACUGAGAGGUUGAACGGCCACAUUGGGACUGAGACACGGCCCAG